GGGCGGUGGCGGCUGGGGUCAGCCCCACGCCGGCGGCGGCUGG
rfam:Felis catus isolate Cinnamon breed Abyssinian chromosome A3, whole genome shotgun sequence.